rnacentral:tmRNA from 1 species
GGGGGCGUUCCGGUUUCGACGGGAAUGCCGGGAUUUAAGGUCGCGCGCCGUGGAGGUUACAAGCCACGUAAAUCCUUGUGACGUAUGAUAAUCGCCAACGAUUAUCGCUACGCUGUCGCCGCCUAACUAAGCGGCUAAGCCGUUCUGCCGUUUGCCUCCCGCAAAACGGACAGGGCGCAAUAUCGCGGGAUAGCCGAAGGGAGUGGCCGACCGGCCCAGAAGCGAAACAAAGGUUGGCUGGCGCCGUCAACGCCCGUUUCCGGGCAAACUGACGGGGCGAGACCUUAAAGCGGAAACUACGCGCGUAGAAGCCUUAGGUCAGGAUUUUCGGACAGGGGUUCGACUCCCCUCGCCUCCACCA